rnacentral:rRNA from 1 species
CACGUAGGCGGCCUGUUAAGUCGGGUGUGAAAGCCCUGGGCUCAACCCAGGAAGUGCACUCGAAACUGGCAGGCUUGAAUAUGGAAGAGGGUCGCGGAAUUCCCGGUGUAGAGGUGAAAUUCGUAGAUAUCGGGAGGAACACCAGUGGCGAAGGCGGCGACCUGGGCCAAUAUUGACGCUGAGGUGCGAAAGCGUGGGGAAGCAAACAG